rnacentral:tRNA from 1 species
GCGGUGGUGGUUCAGCAGUAGAAUUCUCGUCUUCCAUGUGUGAGACCUGGGUUCGAUUCCCGGCCAGUGCA